rnacentral:misc_RNA from 1 species
AACGCACCUUGCGCACCUUGGCAUUCCAAGGAGCAUGCCUGUUUGAGUGUCAUCGAAUUCUCAGAACCUCCUACCUGAUGUGGAGGACCAUGGUUGAUGGAGGGCGUGCCCCUCCUCUCUCUGCCUGUGGUCCACUACUUCUUCAGGCAGCGGGGUCUGGAUCGGUGGAGGAUGCAUUGCCAGGCUUAAUAACCCUUUGCUUCUCUGAAAUGGAUCGGCGUCACAGCUUUAUUGUCGGUAUGAUACACAUACAUGUCUUACCUGCUUCCAACCUGUGCCAGCCUUGAACACAAAACACGCUCUCAAGAUUUGACCUCAAAUCAGGCAGGACUACCCGCUGAACUUAA